UGAGGGAAAAAGUUUAUUGAUUGUACCUCAAGAAUAAGGAGUUGCUAAACUCGUGCCAGCAGCAGCGGUAAUACGAGUGCUCCCAGCGUUAUCCGGAAUCAUUGGGCGUAAAGGGUGUGUAGGUGGUUGUGUUAGUCUCCUGUCAAAUUUUUCGGCUUAACCGGGGGCUCGCCGGAGAGACGGCACAACUAGAGGAUGCGAGAGGCACAUGGAACUCAUGGAGUAGGGGUGAAAUCCGUUGAUAUCAU
rnacentral:rRNA from 1 species